CGAGCGAGCGAGCCAUAUGUCUGUCUCUGGCUCUAUCGCUCUAUCGUUCUAUCCCUACGUACGUAUCGUUGUCUGUGUAUGUGGUGGAUUGAUGAGUCGUCGUACAACGUCCAAUGGCUGACAGAUAUUAAUUCCCAGCCAGCCAGCCAGCCAUCCUCCUCCCUCCCCUAUUGACAUUGAGCCAAUCACGGUGAUCACGAACGGCGUGAUUGAAAGCCAGAACCCGCACAACCCACCCACCCACCAGAGCCGGAGCCUGUCACGGGCAGUGAGUGAGUGAGUCAGUGUGUGAGUCAGUGUGUGAGCAGCCGGAAAGAAGAGUGGUCCGCCCUCUGGACUCAACCACACCUCCAGCAUGUCGCAAUUCGGCUUUGACGAUAACCCGUUCGCGGCCCCGCCCUUGGUGACCCCUGGGUCGGCCGCCGCUGAUCCAUUUCAAGAUCCUUCGGUCCAAAAAGCGACCACGGGGGGCGGUCCGGGCGGACCCGUCGAGCCCCCCGCCCCGUCCGAUUUGUCUGACUAUAAUCCAUUUGAAGGCCAGAAGACGGUGGGACAAUCGGCGGGGUCUGGCCCUGCUGUUAUGAACGCCCAAUCCCCACAGCCUCAAGUGCCACCGCCCAUUACCACCGCCGAUUUUCAGCGUCGUCAAGAGGAGUUGGAGGAACGAGCCCGAGAUUUGGAACGCCGAGAGCAAGAGUUGCGAAAUGCGCCCUACAAUGCGAGGACCAAUAAUUGGCCUCCGGUUCCUAGCUUCUGUCCAUUCCAGCCGUGCUUUUACCAAGAUAUCAAUGUGGACAUUCCUGUGGAGUUUCAAAAGAUUGUCAAUUACCUGUAUUAUCUAUGGGUUGCUCAUGUGAGUCUGCUCUUCUCGAACAUGAUCGUGGGAUUGUUGUACUUAUUCGUGGGAGGCGAUUGGGGUGGUACGUUUGUGGGAUCCACCAUCUAUUUCCUCAUCUUCUCGCCCCUCUCCUUCAUCUGUUGGUUCAGACCCGCCUACAAGGCGUUCCGCGAUGACAGUUCGUUUAACUUCAUGGUGUUCUUCUUCGUCUUCUUCUUCCAAUUCAUCAUGAGCGUCUUGAGCAGUUUGGGAAUUGGAGACACCGGAUCAUGCGGUUUGAUUACGGGCAUUCGACAGAUCACUAACAGCGAAUCUACGGGUGGACAAGUAUUUGUUGGCGUGCUGAUGUUGAUAACGGCCGUCGGGUUUGCCGUUGCGGCUGUCGCCCAAUUCUUCAUGUUAACCAAGGUUCAUCGUCUGUACAAAGCGUCGGAUUGCACCGUGGCGAAGGCCCAAGCCGAAUUCGCAUCGGGCGUGAUGAAGAACGAGGGUGUGCAAAGAGCCGCUGCUGAGGCCGCCCGACAAUCCGCGGCCAACGCAUUUAACAAUCCCAAUAAUGGUGGCACGCCCAUGGGCAACAAUCGGUACUAAAACAAUUCAUAUCAUCCUAACUCCCUCCACACACCCACACACACCCCAACACUUUACAACACGAUGAGCUUGUUCUAUUGCUCGAAGCAAAGUGUCGGAAGACCGAGGAAGAGAUCCAUCGUGCAAGCCAUACAGAAACAAAUCAGUUAAUUUAAAAUAAACGAACCCGUUCUAGUGGACAGGCACUUGUCUCGUCUUGCAACUUCGACUAACCUGAACUGAAGAUGGACUUUUUAUCAUAUAAAUCCGCGAGCGAAAUCAAUCCCUGGUCUGAUUCUUCGUAAUUCAGCCAAAUCUUCGAUCGUCUGCAUUCGCACAGACACCUUGUGUCCUCGAUCGUCGUUGCAAUUGUCGUCAACUAAGCUAAGAGCUGAUGAAGCAUUCGAUUCAACCGAGAGCGAAAUCAAUAAUGUGAUCAUAUCUACCGUAAUAUGCUUAUUUAUUCACAUAUACUACCUAUUCCCUCGCCCAACACCUCCCCUCAACACAGUUUUUUGAAGCGCUUUA